AGCAGUGCGCACGGCGGCUGCUCUUCCCGCUCCUGGUCGGAAGCUCUAAUACAAAAGCCCUUUCACAGAGUCGGAAGUUGGAGAGCGCGGAGCCGAGUUCCCCGAGCGGCGCCUAAGCUUCCUUCUAGAAUUCAUUCCUUGCCUGAGUGCUUUCUUCCCUUCAUCUCAUACAUUUGAAAUUUUCUUUGAGUCCAGCUCCAGCAGCCAGGGAAUCAUCCUGAAGAGAUGAGCGGUGUCGGCGGAGAAUGAUGCAGCCUCUGACUCAAGACCUCUGAAGACUCGUGUUGCCUGAGGAAGCCCUGAAGUUAAGAAAGAGGAAAGAAAAGGGGUGAGGCAUGGCUCUUACUCAGGAACGACUGACCUCUGCGGAUGUGGCCAUCAACUUCACUCAGGAGGAGUGGGAAUUCCUGGACCCUGCUCAGAGGGCCUUGUACAGGGACGUGAUGCUGGAGACCUACAGGAACCUGCUCUCUGUGGGUGAGGAUGACUUCCUUCCAGAGCUGCCCUUGGGUAUCUGCAUUUUUUCCUGUGUGCCCCUUGGGAGGCCCUGAUGUCUUUCAUCUGAGAGUUCUGGUUACUGGGGCAUGACACAACUUCGCAAAGUUAAACUGACCCUCUUCAGAUGCUGUGUCUGUUUCAUGUCAUAUAUGAGGUUGUCCCAGAGCUUAAUUAUCUACAAAGCUCACUGGCAAA